UACGAAGGACCCGAGCGUUAUCCGGAUUCAUUGGGUUUAAAGGGUGCGUAGGCGGACCUGUAAGUCAGUGGUGAAAGCCCUUCGCUUAACGAAGGAACUGCCAUUGAUACUGCUGGUCUUGAGUACAGUUGAGGUGGGCGGAAUGUGUCAUGUAGCGGUGAAAUGCUUAGAUAUGACACAGAACACCGAUUGCGAAGGCAGCUCGCUAAACUGUAACUGACGCUGAGGCACGAAAGCGUGGGUAGCAAACAGG
rnacentral:rRNA from 1 species